rnacentral:rRNA from 1 species
GUGAACGCUGGCGGUAGGCCUAACACCUGCAAGUCGAACGGCAGCACAGUAAGAGCUUGCUCUUACGGGUGGCGAGUGGCGGACGGGUGAGGAAUACAUCGGAAUCUACUUUUUCGUGGGGGAUAACGUAGGGAAACUUACGCUAAUACCGCAUACGACCUACGGGUGAAAGCAGGGGAUCUUCGGACCUUGCGCGAUCGAAUGAGCCGAUGUCGGAUUAGCUAGUUGGCGGGGUAAAGGCCCACCAAGGCGACGAUCCGUAGCUGGUCUGAGAGGAUGAUCAGCCACACUGGAACUGAGACACGGUCCAGACUCCUACGGGAGGCAGCAGUGGGGAAUAUUGGACAAUGGGCGCAAGCCCGAUCCAGCCAUACCGCGUGGGUGAAGAAGGCCUUCGGGUUGUAAAGCCCUUUUGUUGGGAAAGAAAAGCAGCAGGUUAAUACCCCGCUGUUCUGACGGUACCCAAAGAAUAAGCACCGGCUAACUUCGUG